GACGAACGCUGGCGGCGUGCUUAACACAUGCAAGUCGAACGGUGAACCUCUUCGGAGGGGAUCAGUGGCGAACGGGUGAGUAACACGUGGGCAACCUGCCCCCGGCUCUGGGAUAACUCCAAGAAAUUGGGGCUAAUACCGGAUGUUCACCGCUUCCCGCAUGGGUGGUGGUGGAAAGGGUUUCCGGCUGGGGAUGGGCCCGCGGCCUAUCAGCUUGUUGGUGGGGUAGUGGCCUACCAAGGCGACGACGGGUAGCCGGCCUGAGAGGGUGACCGGCCACACGGGGACUGAGACACGGCCCAGACUCUUCCGGGGGGAGAAGGGGGGGAUAAUGGCGAAUGGGGCGAAAGCUGGACGCGGCGACGCCGGGGGGGGGAGACCGGCUUUGGGGUUGUAACCUCUUUCAGCAGGGACGAAGCGCAAGUGACGGUACCUGCAGAAGAAGCACCGGCCAACUACGUG
rnacentral:rRNA from 1 species